AGCAUGUCCUGUUCUGAGUGUUGGUU
rnacentral:rRNA from 1 species